rnacentral:rRNA from 1 species
UACAGAGGGGGCAAGCGUUGUUCGGAAUUACUGGGCGUAAAGGGCGCGUAGGCGGCCUUCUAAGUCGAACGUGAAAUCCCCGGGCUCAACCCGGGAACUGCGUCCGAUACUGGAAGGCUUGAAUCCGGGAGAGGUGAGUGGAACUCCGAGUGUAGAGGUGAAAUUCGUAGAUAUUCGGAAGAACACCAGUGGCGAAGGCGGCUCACUGGCCCGGUACUGACGCUCAGGUGCGAAAGCGUGGGGAGCAAACAGG